UACGUAGGGGGCGAGCGUUGUUCGGAUUUACUGGGCGUAAAGGGCACGUAGGCUGCGAGGCGUGUCGAGUGUGAAAUCUCCGGGCCCAACCCGGAAAGUGCGCUCGAAACUACCUUGCUGGAGUACGGGAGAGGGAAGGGGAAUACAGGGUGUAGCGGUGAAAUGCGUUGAUAUCCUGUAGAACACCGGAGGCGAAGGCGCCUUCCUGGAACGUUACUGACGCUAAGGUGCGAAAGUCGGGGGAGCAAAC
rnacentral:rRNA from 1 species